AGACGUAGGUUGAGUCUAGUAGGUCCGCUCUCCUGACUGGUCGAUGAGUGGAGGGACGGUCCAUUCUCCAGGUGGUGUCAACUUCCCAUUGGCCCUUGGCAGUGUCCUUUGUCCUCGGAGUCCAACACACCUAAGUGUGUGUGUGUGUGUGUGUGUAUUUCUGGUAAUUCGUGUCUGGGUGCUUGCGAUAUUCAUGGAAUGUUGUUCUUUACACCAGUGGUCAGUUCGUGUGGCUAGGGCGCCUUCAUGUCUUGACAUUUUUGUGUGAGUUCUUAAGUCUGCCAUCUGUCCUCUGGGUGUGGUCGUGAUUGGUAUCACUUGGUUGCUCAAUAUGUCUCUGGAAUUUUGUUGUGUGCUGUUGUGAAACAUGUUGUGCAAAUGCCCUCCUUAUAUAUCAUUAGGUAAAACGUUAGAUUAUCUUUAUUACAGUAUCCAUGGCAUUUUCCAAUUAUGUUCCUAUUUUACAAGUAAAAAAAAUUGAGAACCUUUCAUAAUGUUGCCAAACAAAGACUCAACAAACUUACCUGAGACUCCCUGUCUCUGCCAGUCUGUCCCUGUAUAUCUGUCCCCAACUCUGCUCUCUGUGUGCCAUCUGUUGCCUGCUCUGCCUAAUGACAUCAUUGUGAAACAUUUCCAUUAGAAUUUCAUUUCUUUCUUAUGAACAUUUUAUCAACUAGUCUUUGAGAUAUUAGGCUACUAGAGUUCUUACUUUGGUGUAUUGAAAAAUACUCUGAUGUCCGUCUUUUAUUUUUCUGCCAUUUUUCUACCUGGCUGGCUGGCUGGCUGGCUACACACACACACAGUCUGUAGGUUAUUUACAGUAGGAGAUGGGCUUCUAUCAUCUUCUAUCAUUCUAUUUGGGCUUCGAUCUAAAAGGUAGCUAGCAAAUGUGAAACGGAUUAAAAUGACAAGAGUUGACAGCUGUAUGCACCAUUUACACAACAUAUGCUGCAACCUUUUGUAAUUGUAAUAGUUUGUUUCAUAUUGGCUGGCUUCCAACAAUAGCUGAAUUUGCAAAGCUAGCGAGCACCAAUUCAGUUUCAGUGGUGUUUGCUAUAAUCUUUGCUACCCGGGUUAAAUAAAGGUGAAAUAAAAUAAAUAAAUAAAAGUUCCCUUGCGACAAUUUAGCUUUUGCAACGAGACCAUUAAAUAUAUUUAAGACAUUGGUAGAAGAGAGUGUAGUUCAGUUUGGACUUCAGUUUAUCGCUAACCUUAUCACAGGGACUUUGACGCACUAACUUACAUCAUCUGCAUGCUGAUCUUGGAAUAAAUUGACGAUAGCAAAGAUUCCAUCUUUGACGACGCCACAUAAAUGGAAUAGGUACUACCUAGCUUAAUAGUUAAUAUUUGCGCGCUAGCUCUGCAUAUUCAGCUAGUGUGUGUGCGCGAUUGACUGGAUUAACCUUAAGUCAGUUACGUUCAUUGAGUGCCUUUCAGACAGUAGACACGACCCCUCUGUUACCUUGCCAACUAAGGAACUGGCAGUGGAUCAAACCAUUGUGAGGCAAAGGGUGGGGGGGUCGCAAUCUUUUGAAACUUAAAAACACGCUAUUAAGUGUCUAUAAUCAGCACAAUUGCUUUCAUUGCGUAUUAUUAAUAUUAUUUAAAUUACAUAGUUAUGUUUCAGUGAUAUAUUGGGGGGGACAAAUCAUAUUUUUCCCAGGAUGGGGGGUCGUGUCCCCCCCGGGAUUUCCGCCCCUGCCUUAACAUUUAAAUUCCUCUAUCAGUAGGCUAGUUGAGAACAAGUUCUCAUUUACAACUGCGACCUGGCUAAGAUAAAGCAAAGCAGUGCGACACAAACAACACAGAGUUACACAUGGAAUAAACAAGCGUACAGUCAAUAACACAAUAGAAAAAAAGAAAGUCUAUAUACAGUGGGUGCAAAUGGCGUGAGGAGGUAAGGCAAUAAAUAGGCCAUAGUAGCGAAGUAAUUACAAUAUGAUGAUGUGGCUCAGUUGUUCACCGACAUUCACAAAUGACAUUAUGCUGUAGAGACCUUUGAUAAUUCACUGUUAAGGGUUCAUAAACAUUUUUCUAUGACUUAAUUUAAUUUUCAUGACUUAUAGCUUACAUGGAAAAAGUAACCAUUAUUGACACUGGAAGGCUGCUGUGCCUGAUCCCAUGUACGGUGCAUUCGGAAAGUAUUCAGACCCCUUGACUUUUUCCACAUUUUGUUAUGUUACAGCCUCAUUCUAAAAAUAAUUAAAUUGAGGGAAAAAAAAUCUACACACAAUACCCCAUAAUGACAAAGCAAAAACAAGUUCCAUUUUUUUUUGCAAAUGUAGUAAAAUUACAAAACUUAAAUCACAUUUACAUAAGUAUUCCAACCCUUUACUCAGUACUUUGUUGAAGCACCUUUGGCAGCGAUUACAGCCUCGAGUCUUCUUGGGUAUGACGCUACAAGCUUGGCACACCUGUAUUUGGGGAGUUUCUCCCAUUCUUCUCUGCAGAUCCUCUCAAGCUCUGUCAGGCUGGAUGGGGAGCGUUGCUGCACAGCUAUUUUCAGUUCUCUCCAGAGAUGUUCAAAUGGGUUCAAGUCCAGACUCUGGCUGGGCAACUCAGGACAUUCAGAAACUUGUCAUGAAUCCUCUCCUUCGUUGUCUUGCCUGUGUGCUUAGGGUUGAUGUCCUGUUGGAAGGUGAACCUUGUGGUGGAAAAUUCUAAUCAAGUGGGAGAGAGUUUGUUUGAAGAAAUGGCAAUCAUUCUUUGAACAACGUAGCAACGCUCCACUUCUGCUCAACUUCCUAUCCGAUCUUGUCCUGUCAACCUGAUUGUAGCCAUACUAGCCUCGAAGUCGCUCGUUUUAUCAUUACCUCAGUAUAUUAAUACAAUCAUAUUUCUAUAGCGUUUUUUUUUAAUAAUUCUUGUUGAAAAUUCUGUAUAUCCGUUCAGUUGGUGAUUUUUGUAAUUCGAUUGUGUUCUGUCUUUUUUUGUCUCUUUAGCCAGUAAACGUUAGCUACCAGUACCUAGCUAACGUUAGUGCUAAUGACGUUAACGUUAUUAGUUGGUGCGGCAUCUUUAUUGAAAGUUAGGAAAUUAAGAAGUUUUCAUUGAACCUUCUAGUGGUUGUUGACAUCUGAAGAAGGGAGCAGUACCUUUGCUAUUCCAGUGGAAUAUUACCAUGUCCAAGAGAUCCUUAUGUCACUGAUGGGAAGCAUCAAAUGCAUCUGGGCUGUAGCUUGCCUUCUCACAAAACAACCGGUGUGGGCCUCUUGUGAAGGCAUGGGCCAAGAAGCAAUGAGCUACUACUGCAAUGCAUCUUUCCUUUUUUUACUGUGACCAUCCACAUUGUCUAACACCCCGUAGUCCAUUUAUUGAUAAUAAACACCUCUGCUUAUACUCCAAACAAAAUGCUACAAAGAGUUUUUAAUUACAGUGACGAGAACAGAAAAAUGUAACUGAAUUAUUUUAAAUGAUUCAUUAAUUAAUUGCAGACAGAUUUGUUGGUUUGUUUCUCUUUCAUUAAUUGAAAGAUAAAGGAGCAUGCCCCUUUAUAUUUAGUCUUUCCUGCCUAAGAACUUUUGCAUGUACACAUAAGUAGUACCAGUCACCCUUCUCUCUAAUUAGUGAGAACACCACUGGGACUCUAUGCAUUCUCUCACCUGAAGAGACUAUGUGAAGCUGGUGUUCUUCACUGAGCAUAAAUGUGCAGCCUUGAAAGUUGCUCUCCGGGCAGUGAAGGGAAUGGUGGUGUCUCCUUAUGGUGAACUAUGUGUCACGUUGUGAUUGGAGGCUGCUGGUAAGACAGAAGGCUCCCCACCUGUACCUUUCCAAAGUGGGAGUCGACUAAAAGCUUUUCAGCAGACAUCCCCAUGCUGCAGAUCAAUGGCUUGGAUAGAGGGUCAAAGCUUUUGUAUGCCUCUUCUAUCUGGAGAACUGAGAGGUCAGGGAGCGUUCCAAGAAGGGCACUGUAGAGUGUACUUCUGCAAAGCAGCCGCUGUGGUUUCCCAAUCUAAACAAUGUACUUGAAACCACCUGAAAUUAAAAACAUUCAUAUAGUCAAAGUGUAAUAGCAGCUACUACCUACUAUACUGGCUAUUAGGGAAUACUCACCUAAUCCCUCCUUCUGCCAUGCGAUUUUUGGUGGGCUCGGUGAUGGUCAUUUUGUCUAUGGGCCCAGGUUGCAGACCCUGUAAAAAGACAGUACAAGGGCACUAUUCUAAAUCUAAUCAUGAGACGAUUUAAGUUUUCAUUAAAUCAUUUAUUAGCAUUAUGAUGUGAUUAUAACCAUAUGAUGUUGAAGGGAACGGCACCUCCAUACCUUCAGGCUCUGAUCAGGCCCUACACCCAAACAAGGGCACUGCGUUCAUCCACCACUGGCCUGCUGGCCCCCCUACCUCUGAGGAAGCACAGUUCCCGCUCAGCCCAGUCAAAACUGUUCGCUGCUCUGGCACCCCAAUGGUGGAACAAGCUCCCUCACGACGCCAGGACAGCGGAGUCAAUCACCACCUUCCGGAGACACCUGAAACCCCACCUCUUUAAGGAAUACCUAGGAUAGGAUAAAGUAAUCCUUCUAACCCCCCCUUAAAAGAUUUAGAUGCACUAUUGUAAAGUGGUUGUUCCACUGGAUAUCAUAAGGUGAAUGCACCAUUUUGUAAGUCGCUCUGGAUAAGAGCGUCUGCUAAAUGACUUAAAUGUAAAUGUAAAUGUUGAUAUGUGGUACAGCUAUUAAAACAUACCAUAGUCCUUGGCUUAUACCACUGCUGCUCGGCCUCUGUGCAGCUGUGCACAGGUGGGACGACUAGUGUUCCCAUUUGGGAAUAGUGUGCAGACUGGAAUAGUAAUGCAACUGUGUGGUUGCAUAAUGCAGUGCCAGCAACACAUGAACAGUGAUGUUGUGUCAUUGUUACUGGCUCAGAGGGCUUCAGUACAACCUUCAUAGUUGAAAAGGUAACUGAAUACAAAGUUUGAAUCCUUUUUCCAACUUGGAGGUCGGUGCUUUGCUACUUGUCUUGGCCAGACGAUGUACAUCCGUCACUGUUAUCUUUGGCAGCUCUUGCAAGCGCCUUGACACAAUAAUCGAAUUACAAAAAUCACUAACUGAACGGAUAAGCAGAAUUUUCAACAAGAAUGAUUAAAAAACACUAUAGAAAUAUGAUUAUAUUAAUAUACUGAGAUAAAGAUAAAACGAGGCUAGUAUGGCUACAAACAGGCUGACAGGACGCGAUCGGGAGAGGAAGCUAUAUAUCGGGUGGUAGGAAGUUGAGCGGAAGUGGGCGUUGCUACAUUGUGCAAAAGGUCUGAAUACUAAACGGUGUGGAUCAUUUAGAUAAAGAGGAGUGACUAUGUAUGUUAUGCCAGACUGAAGCUGUAUAUACAGAGGUCUCUGAGUCUGGGACUGGCAGUUGCUCCAUGGACCAUCUCGGCUUGUUACUUUGUAAUUAAGUCUGUAAUGAACUCACAAGCUCCGGUAUCUGAGAUAUUAUUGAACCAAUAUUUAUUCGACACAACGCGUCCAUGCACUAUGAUGUAUACAGAAAUGGUUUAAUUCUGAAAUACUACAAGGCAGUAGGCGACACUGAUGAGACAAGGAGAAUGCAGACCUAUACCUGGACCCAAAGUGGACUGGAUCGAUCCGUCGCUGGACAAUCAUCAAGUCCCCAAGUUACCAGUGGUCAGAUGAGUGAGAUUCCUUGCAGCUAUUCUCGUCAAUAUGGGCCAGUCAGACCAGCUGUCCUGUAUAUAGAAGGUGGUCGAUGCCUACCACACAGCGGACAAGUAACCAGUGGAGGUUACUGGAGUGGACCGAACCUGAAUCAACAGGCUUCAAUGGUGUACAUAAACUCAUCUCAGCAUUCACCCACCAAAGAGCAAGUUCUAACGGGUACUAGUCCCCUUUUGACAUCACUCUGGACUAACAAUGCAGCGGCUGCUCAAUCAACUGGUGUUACAUCACAAAGUGGAAACCGUCACACCUUGCCCGGAAGGGUUAACAGUGCAGCUCAGCCCACUUUUCAGCAGGGACAGAGGUUUUUGGGUGUUAAAAAAAACAAUCCACAGAGGCUCGUAAAGGAUGGUCAGGGUCCAACCAUUCACUGCCCCCCUCAUAUUAAUGCACCACUGAAUACAAAUGUUAUGUAUCAUCUAAGCCCAGUGAGUGGCAGUCAGCAGCUUGUACUUGGCAGACAAGAGGGGGCCUCCAGUGGUACCUCUGCUUCUCUUGCAAUGGGUAGGAGCCCCAACCAUGUAAAUCAUAAAUUGACUGUAGUGAGUGGGCAGGAUUCAAGAAGGAUAGCAGUUCAAGCUCCUCAUCAGGGAAACCCACAAACACCAAACUCUUUGCAAAGUGGACAGGAGACAACAUAUAACCAACUGUUGUAUUUACUUCAAAAUCAGAACAAUGACAGCAGGGCUGAGAUGAACAGGGUGCACCAACAUGGAGCACCUGUCCACACUGGCUCAUCAAACCACAGUCAAAUGUAUCCCUCUCAACUUCUCACUGGCAGCAACAACCAGGUCAAUGUAUCAAAUGCUACAGUGGGGCAGUCAAUGCCAAUGCAUAACAUUAGCCAGAAUCCUCAGUACAAUGUUAUGUAUAACCCUCCUUUUAAUAAUUCUCCAAGACAUGUCCCCAUCUGCCCUAAAAGCUUUCCCAUCCCACCACAACAGAACAGACUCCCAUCUUAUUGUGCAAAUAAUAACAGUCAGGCAGGGCCCAUUGGAAAUAAUGCACACUAUGCCUCUCAUCCUAGGCUCCAUAUCCAAGGCACAUGCCCUACCCUACAUUACAAGCCAGACUGCACCAAUGUUCUGGUAGGCAACGCUGGACCAUCUUCAUCUGUGCCAAACUAUAGUAUACAGCCCUCAGUCCAGCACAACCGUGAGACCGCGCCUCCACCAUACCCAGUCCAGCACAAGCGUAAGUCCGCGCCUCCACCAUACCCAGGCCAGCACUCCCAUGGACCCGUGCUGAACAAGACGGAACAUGUGGUUGGGGCAGGAGCGCAUUUUCUGCAACACGUGCCUAACCAAGGUGCAGCCCCUACCCUACAUUACAAGCCAAAAAACACCUAUGUUCAGUUAUCCAACACUGGACCAUCUUCAUCUGUGCCAAACCAUGGUAUGCUGUCUUCAGGCCAGCAAAACUGUGAGUCUGUGACUCCGUCACACCCCAUAAGACAGGGCUAUUACAUAACAGUAACAGAGGACAAAAGUGGAAAUGGAUUUAGAACAGAAAAUUUUAUUUUCAUAGGAGAUAAACCUAAUGAAAGUGCUCUGGUCCUGCAAGGAUCAUCUGCAAGUAAUGCCCCCUCUGUUCUUACGACACAGAAGGCCGUUGCAGUUGUACAACCACUAUCGCAGUGUAUGCAGACAAACACACCUCUAAAUGUGGCUGAUAAAAUCUCCUUGACUACCCAAGGUAUGUCUUUCUUAACAGGUGUCAAAAAUGUGAGCAACCCUGGGGAAGAAUCUUGUGACCAAAGUCCAUCACAAGCCCAAACAACCCUUAUUCUAUCUGCUUCUUUGACAAAUGAAUCUGAACAAGAGGUCCCCAAGAUCAGACUAGAAUCAGGGGCUGAUAAAACAUUGACCAAGGGUUCAGAAACUUCUGAUGUUGAAAUGGCCAAGAUAUAUUCAUGUUUUAAGCCUCAACGGUCAUUAUCAAACGGGUUAUGUGCAGAGAAAUUUGAUUCUCAACCAUUACCUAAUGUGGAAUGUCAAGCCACUCAGAGAAAAGAGUUAGCUGACACAGAAAUGACCACUCAUGUGCAUGUUAACCAAUUGAGUGAGGAAACGAAUGAAAAAGUCGAUUCCGAUGAGGACAUUUUUGAAUUGUCCUCCAUUCCUGUAAUCAAAUGGACCCUUGGUAAAUUGAAGGAGUUGGUAGAUACUGUGCAAAGUCAAAAAUGCACUGCCACACCAGUUGAAAGCAAAAUACUAAGCCUCUAUUGGGACGGAGAUGGGCCAAAGCUUAUGGAUGCUGCAAGAUCUGGUAUGUUACAAAAUAUAAUGGAAGAGGUUAGAUCUGUGUGUGGCGACGAUGACGAUAUGUCAUCACAGUCUGUCAUAUUUUCACAAGCCAGGCGCAAAAACUGGGGUCAAGUUGAAGAGAAAUGUGCCAUUCUUAAACAUGAUUCUGUUCACCCCGAGUUCCCAGCGCAAGAGUCAUCGUGGUUGAACACAAAUAAGCAGCUUGAUGACAUAGACAAGGAGUUUGGAUUCCCAUGGUCACUAAGAUAUGACCAAAAGACUCUUCAUAGAGGAGAUGAACAAACAAAACUGAUUUGUACCGAAAAUGAAAAAUCUGCGGACUCUGCCAAUGACAUGCAGACUGAGGUGGCUCAGACGAAGAGACCAACACCCUCUGAUUCUGAUGCUAAAGAAAUUCAAGGGUCAGGUUUGGUACACGGUUCCACCCAGACCCUCUCACUGGUUAAGAGAGAGGCAGGUAUCAUUUUUAGUGACCCAUUUUCCUCCCUGGAGAUCAACGUGCUGACACCAGAAGAAGCUUUGAUGUUUUUCAGUGGGCAGCUACCACAAGAUAAAGUGAAUGAAGAAGACCUGUUGGAAUUGCCAAUGGAAAUGGACGCGGAGCUGAUUGAGUUGAAAGAUUACUCAGUGGAGGAUAAGUCAUCUGAGAGGGUAGAUGUGAAGUUGACUGAUUUAAAACUCGAAAACAAAGGGGAUGCCCAAUCAGAAGAUUACUGUUGCCUCUCUCGUUGGAUGGCAGUGUUCAGUGGGUCCACCAAUUCUUCGUCCUGCAAAUGCCAAUACGAGACUAAAUUGGGUUCAGCAAAGGCCACUGUGAAUGCGACGCCGUUGGUUGAGGUAACAUUGUCUGUUGAACCCAACACAACAAAAGCAGAACAAAGGGAAUGCCUGCAAUUGUCUAAAUCAAAUGGCACAGCAGAAGAAAAGAGGGAAGAGAAUCCUGUAAAAAAUUUGAAUCCUCAAUCUUGGAAAUCUACAGGCAUUCAAGAAUGCCAAACAAUUGUUUUGUCUGAUAGCAAAUCUGAGACUGCUCGCAUAUACACAAAUUGGGUGAAGAGCUUGCCUUUGUCAAAAGCCCCAGCACUGCAACUCCCCAUCAACCACACAAACAUUGUUGAAAUUGAAGAGGUCUUCUCCCGUUAUGAAGACUUUAUUAAAGUAGACACCCCAAUAUCGGAGAUAGUUUGGGACGAUGUACAGCCAAAGCAGAAACUACCAGGUCUGUUCCAGAAACGUAUAGAAUGUGUACAAGAACUUGGUGUCAUUUUGGAAGAAGGAAACCCUAGAGGUAGUGAAGUCGUUCCUACAGUUCCCAUUCCUACUUCUAAUCUGCAACCCCAACCAACAGACAAAAUCGGUUUCCUUACAUCACUUUCCUUGGCACAAAGAUGUCACAAACAUCUCUCUCCUAAAACAAAUUGUAGCUACAAGGUUAAACAAAAAGGGGUUGGACUCAAGAGAAGAUGUGUUGAAAGUCCGCAUUCAAAUUUGCCUGUCCCAAGAAAGCAAAGGAAAAUGAGGGAUGGAUUAGGUCCCUCCUUUCAACUCGUUCCUGAGGUCAACUUGACUGAUGAUGAUGUUUUUGAGCCCCCCAAUACAACUACUUCUAAAUCUUUGGAAGAAGAGAAACAUUCAAAAGGUAGCAAUCUCCAGAAGCCAACAGAACAUGGAAUUGGGAACAACAUUUGGAGGGUUGGCACAGUAAGUCUAGCCUUGUUUGGUUCCGCGCUCCAGAGGAAAAAUGGGGCUUUAACAACUGACCAACGCAAGGACCAUAAUACUUCUCGAGCAAGACCUUUUGCAGACAAUGCUCCAGCACCUCCUAUAACCCUCAGUGUGAAUGUCAACUCCUGGACCAGUCCUCCAGCGGAAAGCCCAAUCAAACAAUGGAUCUUAAACGAGUGGAAUAAUAGUUUUAUCCCGACAAAGACAAAGUCCAGGGGCAAAGUGUCAAAACUACAAAACAGAAGAGGCUUUGCUCCAAAGAUUAUUUGUGCUGAAAUGGCCAAAAAGACUGUUGCCCUCACCAACACAGAUAGAGGUGCAUUAUCCUCUGAAAGGCGAGCCAAACCAGAAAGAACUGUAAAGGCCAAGCAGACUUUGCGGCGUGUUGAAAGAGAAAGAAUCUUAAACGGCCUGAAACUCGGACCAAAGAAAUCUAGGAUUGAGGCAGUGCCAUCCAGUAUCCCUGAUCUAGUGGAACAAAGUAAAUAUGAGAUCGGAAACCCAGCUCCUUUGCCUCAUGAGCAGAACAGUCUUAUGUUUAGUGUGCUGCCGGAGUCGUUCAACUUCAAAGACGUCAUGGACCCUCCGACACAGACAGGUUCAAUGAAUGACAUGGCUGGUCCGGUUGCUGCGAAGGCUGAGAGUCCUCAGACGAUAGUCCAAAAAUCCCAAGAUUGGUUGUGACCGCUGCCCAGGAUGGUUCCACCAGUCCUGUAUGAAAACCAUCCCAUCAUUGGAGGAUUAUGUCUGCGCUGCCUGUCAGGACUAGGUUAGGCUUGAGUUCCAGGCGACGGUAUCACCUGGAAAACUUUCCAUAAAAAGUGGACUAAAUGUUCAGUCAAGCUGUUGUCGCUUUCCAAUAUUUGUUUUUGUUAUUGUCUUUUUAUAUUUGAUUUAUUGUAAUUUUAUAUCUUAUUAUGCAAAGAUCAAAAUUUGUAUUUCUUAUUUAAUGUUUGUUAACGAACUUAACUUUCUGUGAUGUUUUUGUGUUAUUGGGUGAUAAUAUUUGUGUAUUAUCUUUAUUUUAAACAUUACAAAAUGUUUCUAAAAUAAAUGUUAAUGUUUCUUUAUACUCUAAUUUUUCUUUCUGUGGCACACACUACUGGUCAGCUACCAAAAUGAUGAGCUACGAAAAUGAUUCUUUAGUGUGCCAGGCCUUGCAGUCCCAAGACAGAAGGGGAGGGGAGAAUUUCAGCAGGCAAGAAAAUGGCCUUGCCGAAAUCCCCCCCCUUCUAAUUUCCUUAAUUUUGUGGCUAGAGUCAAAUACUUUCUGUGACACAUUAGAGUGAAAUAUUUUCUAUAGAACAAACUUCACAUCAGGAUAGGCAACCAAAAUUAAUAAUGUAUGUGUGUUAUAUUAAACAUAGGAGGGAGUAAAAUGUAGACAAGCAAUAAACAUUUCAGAACUACUAGUCGAAUAGGAGAGAUGACGAAUUUUGGCAAAGAGAUUUAUUUAGACUAAUACACUUGAAACAAAUAGCCAAACCGAAACCUGCAGACAUUACUAGUGCCUCCCCCGCGAUCAAACUGACAUAAAAAAUCUAAUGAAACGCAGCCUAACGUGAUCAGAAAUCACCUCAGACUGUCACGCUCUGGCCAUAGAGAGGGUUUUAUUCUCCAUUUUGGUUAGGCCAGGGUGUGACUAGGGUGGGCAUUCUAUGUCCUUUUUUCUAUGCUUUGUAUUUCUUUGUUUUGGCCUGGUAUGGGUCUCAAUCAGGGACAGCUGUACAUAGUUGUCGCUGAUUGGGAGCCAUACUUAUGCAGCCUGUUUUCCUUUGAGGUUUUGUGGGUAGUUGUUUUCUGUCUUGUGUAUUCACCUGGCAGAACUGUUGGCUUUCAUUUUCUUGUUUUAUUUCAAGUGUCAUUAAAGUUAAUAUGAGCACUUACCACGCUGUAUCUUGGUCCCCUUUGUCAGACGAUCGUUACACAGAGGGUACUUAUUUGUCACGCCCUGAUCUGUUUCACCUGUCUUUGUGAUUGUCUCCACCCACCUCCAGGUGUAACCCGUUUUCCCUAUUAGUCCCUGGGUAUUUAUUCCAGUGUUCCCUGUUUGUCUGUUGCCAGUUCAUCUUGUCAAGUCAACCAGUGUUCUUUUCCAUGCUCCUGCUAUUUCUUAUCUCUCUUUUGCAGUCCUCGUUUUGACACUUGCCUGCCUUGACUCUGAACCCGCCUGCCUGACCAUACUGCCUGCCCAUACUGCCUGCCUUGAUCUCGAGCCUGCCUGCCACUCUGUACCUCCUGGUCUCUGACCUUGUUAUGACUUUUUGCCUGUCCCUUGGAUUAUAAUAAAUAUCAGAC
rnacentral:lncRNA from 1 species